rnacentral:tRNA from 1 species
GUCCAGGUUUUCCUAGUGGAAAUGGCAUCUGCCCGGUAAGCGGAACACUGUGCGUUCGAUUCCCAUCCCUGGACA